rnacentral:rRNA from 1 species
ACGGGGGGUGCAAGCGUUGUUCGGAAUUAUUGGGCGUAAAGAGCGUGUAGGCGGCUGUGUAAGUCAGAUGUGAAAUCCUGGGGCUCAACUCCAGAACUGCCUUUGAGACUGUACAGCUUGAAUCCAGGAGAGGUAAGUGGAAUUCCUAGUGUAGAGGUGAAAUUCGUAGAUAUUAGGAGGAACACCAGUGGCGAAGGCGGCUCACUGGCCUGAUACUGACGCUGAGGUGCGAAAGCGUGGGUAGCAAACAG